rnacentral:lncRNA from 10 species
GUUUAAAGGAGAACUUGGGCUUUGGAGUAGUUGUGCUGAUUGGUGUUUACAUACUAACUCUGCUGCUUCUUAGCUGUAUGGCCUUAGGCAAAUAAUUUAACUUCUAAGCCUCAGUUUCCCCAUCUAAAAAAUAGGGGAACUUUACAGGGUUAUUGUGAGAUGUGAGAUAGAAGGGGUAGAGCACAUUGACUGGCAUAAAGGAGGGGCUUCAUAAUUAGUUCUAUUGCUUUUUCUUAACACUUUCUUCUCCAGUGACAUUUUGUGUCCUUUCAUUGCUUUUUUUUUUUCUUCUGUUUGUAUUCCCGUGUCAUUCACUGAUUUAUUCUCCUAGCAUUGCCCAAGACGAAAAUUGUUGUCCUCUGAUUUAGACUAGUUAUUUCCUCUUUAGGCAAAGAGGAACUGCACUUUAACAUAUUAAGGCAUCUUUUUCUUUCAUUUGCGCACAAUGCUGAUUUUUGCAGUCCUAUUUUACGCCUUAAUGUGACAACUUCCUGGUUUUUUUUUUUUUAAACCCAGAACUUAACUAUUACAACAAACCUAGGCAAUUUAUUUUAAUUGGCAUAAAGAGACUGAAUAACACCAGUAACUGACUGUGGCUUUCAUGUGACCCUGGUUUGUGAUGAGCUGUGCUGUGUUUUGGGAAUAGCAUUAAUAUUUUCUUGCAGUUUGAGUUUAACUAUCAACGGUUUCCUGGCAUCUUUUGGUUGAUGUCAGACAGUAACAUUUUAGAUAUGGCAGCCUGAUUGUCACCUGCACAUUUAGAGACAAUUAUUAGACUAGUGGUUUUCCUUCUAAAGCCAAAGAGUUUUUUGAUAAUCUUCCUAUAUAUACUGUUACACCCCCCAGUUUUG